rnacentral:rRNA from 1 species
GACGAACGCUGGCGGCGUGCCUAAUACAUGCAAGUUGAGCGCUGAAGGUUGGUACUUGUACCAACUGGAUGAGCAGCGAACGGGUGAGUAACGCGUGGGGAAUCUGCCUUUGAGCGGGGGACAACAUUUGGAAACGAAUGCUAAUACCGCAUAAAAACUUUAAACACAAGUUUUAAGUUUGAAAUAUGCAAUUGCAUCACUCAAAGAUGAUCCCGCGUUGUAUUAGCUAGUUGGUGAGGUAAAGGCUCACCAAGGCGAUGAUACAUAGCCGACCUGAGAGGGUGAUCGGCCACAUUGGGACUGAGACACGGCCCAGACUCCUACGGGAGGCAGCAGUAGGGAAUCUUCGGCAAUGGACGAAAGUCUGACCGAGCAACGCCGCGUGAGUGAAGAAGGUUUUCGGAUCGUAAAACUCUGUUGGUAGAGAAGAACGUUGGUGAGAGUGGAAAGCUCAUCAAGUGACGGUAACUACCCAGAAAGGGACGGCUAACUACGUG